AAAGGGAGACCUAAUUCAGGUAAAAGACGAAAAAAAAGUAGUCGCUACCAAGAAUCAAUCCCAAAAGGUCGGAGCGAGGCGAAAUUGGCUUUCAAACUAGGUUCUGGGUUCAAACAAGACCUGAAUCAGGAACAAGGGCUAUUAGCUCAGGUGGUUAGAGCGCACCCCUGAUAAGGGUGAGGUCCCUGGUUCGAGUCCAGGAUGGCCCACCUGCACAGGCGGCAAAAACAAGAGAAGCGAGGAAUCAGCACCUUAUCUUACUUAUAUAGUAAGAGAGAAUGCUGGCUCUGAGUAAAGAGUCCAGGGGAACCUUGAAAACUGCAUAGAGCUAGGUGAAAAAGCCAAAAAAGAAGACCGCAAG
rnacentral:tRNA from 1 species